rnacentral:lncRNA from 1 species
CUUUAGAUUAAUGCUGCCAUCAGGCAGUCCACACUAUGCAGCUGAGCAGGCUAACAGAGUCACAUAUAAUAUCCAUAAAAGUCCAACGUGAUCUACAUCAAAAGAAGGAUGACAAGGCUGGAUAUCCCUGUGGUUUUUAAUGUAAAGAAAAGCAAAGCAAACUGCUUCCACUAUAGUUUUUGAUAAAACCUUCCUGGCCUUGUGUAUCCACCAUAAAAUAAAAUAAAA